rnacentral:lncRNA from 1 species
CCAUAGGUGACUUCUAUGUAAUGGCACGGUGUACAGCAUUGCAGUCUGAAAACUGAGAACUCUAUAUGUAGUUGCAAAAUUACUUUUUCUUUUAUGCUUCUUUCUGUACCGCAAGAUUUUUUUUGUUUGCUUGCUAUUAAAAUUUUGGAAUCGAAACUGUAAUUGUGUUCCAUCUUUAAGUUCUGAUCAUCAUGACUGCCA